rnacentral:rRNA from 1 species
UACGAAGGGUGCAAGCGUUACUCGGAAUUACUGGGCGUAAAGCGUGCGUAGGCGGUUUGUUAAGUCUGAUGUGAAAGCCCUGGGCUCAACCUGGGAAUGGCAUUGGAUACUGGCAACCUAGAAUGUGGUAGAGGGUGGCGGAAUUCCCGGUGUAGCAGUGAAAUGCGUAGAUAUCGGGAGGAACAUCCGUGGCGAAGGCGGCCACCUGGACCAACAUUGACGCUGAGGCACGAAAGCUAGGGGAGCGAAAGGG